rnacentral:rRNA from 1 species
AUUGAACGCUGGCGGCAGGCUUAACACAUGCAAGUCGAGCGGGGUGAUGGUGCUUGCACUAUCACUUAGCGGCGGACGGGUGAGUAAUGCUUAGGAAUCUGCCUAUUAGUGGGGGACAACAUCUCGAAAGGGAUGCUAAUACCGCAUACGUCCUACGGGAGAGAGCAGGGGAUCACUUGUGACCUUGCGCUAAUAGAUGAGCCUAAGUCGGGUUAGCUAGUUGGUGGGGUAAAGGCCUACCAAGGCGACGAUCUGUAGCGGGUCUGAGAGGAUGAUCCGCCACACUGGGACUGAGACACGGCCCAGACUCCUACGGGAGGCAGCAGUGGGGAAUAUUGGACAAUGGGGGGAACCCUGAUCCAGCCAUGCCGCGUGUGUGAAGAAGGCCUUAUGGUUGUAAAGCACUUUAAGCGAGGAGGAGGCUCUUUUGGUUAAUACCCAAGAUGAGUGGACGUUACUCGCAGAAUAAGCACCGGCUAACUCUGUGCCAGCAGCCGCAGUAA